rnacentral:lncRNA from 1 species
CAUUCAAAGCGGAGCGGCGACGGUCUCUCGCCAGCGACUCGUCCUGCGGCGCGGACGAAGAAUGCUUCGCGAGCGUCACAAGUUUGGUGACUCACGACACUGACGAAGGCAACGUCAACGCUACCGUCACCGAGACGUGCGCCUGCCAACCUGCGGACGACGAAUGCUUCGCGAGCGUCACAAGUUUGGUGACUCACGACACUGACGAAGGCAACGUCAACGCUACCGUCACCGAGACGUGCGCCUGCGAACCUCGUCAGCAGACUUGCUUCAGGCGACCGAAAUGGGUGCGUUUUCACGAGGGGUUUCCGCUGCAGACGUCUGUUGACGUUGGCGAGUGUGCUGGUCCUUGCUCCCUCGAUGGAAAAGACUGUCGGGCAACCCACAUGAGGACGACGGCUAUUGAAGGAC